rnacentral:lncRNA from 1 species
GGAUUUAUUAGCCUUUAUCCACUAGGCACACAGGCUUCACACCUGAGUUAACCCGCAUCAAGCUAGAUCACCCUCAAUCAGCAGGCUAGGCAGUUAGACCCAUUUAAUCUUACCAACCAGGCACCAGUCGACCCUCUUUGUCGACUCCCAUAAUUAUUGUUAAUAUAUCAACCACCUUCGGCUACCAACCCUAGUUUGAGUCUCAUCGAACUCCCUCGAC